rnacentral:rRNA from 2 species
UUGUGCGGGGGUGGCCUAAUACAUGCAAGUCGAGCGGCAGCGGAAAGUAGCUUGCUACUUUGCCGGCGAGCGGCGGACGGGUGAGUAAUGUCUGGGAAACUGCCUGAUGGAGGGGGAUAACUACUGGAAACGGUAGCUAAUACCGCAUAACGUCGCAAGACCAAAGAGGGGGACCUUCGGGCCUCUUGCCAUCAGAUGUGCCCAGAUGGGAUUAGCUAGUAGGUGGGGUAAUGGCUCACCUAGGCGACGAUCCCUAGCUGGUCUGAGAGGAUGACCAGCCACACUGGAACUGAGACACGGUCCAGACUCCUACGGGAGGCAGCAGUGGGGAAUAUUGCACAAUGGGCGCAAGCCUGAUGCAGCCAUGCCGCGUGUAUGAAGAAGGCCUUCGGGUUGUAAAGUACUUUCAGCGAGGAGGAAGGCAUUGUGGUUAAUAACCGCAGUGAUUGACGUUACUCGCAGAAGAAGCACCGGCUAACUCCGUGCCAGCAGCCGCGGUAAUACGGAGGGUGCAAGCGUUAAUCGGAAUUACUGGGCGUAAAGCGCACGCAGGCGGUUUGUUAAGUCAGAUGUGAAAUCCCCGGGCUCAAC